UCAUCAAACAUAUUUUAAGAUGCGAUACACCGCAUGCAGCAGAGAAGUUGUCAAGAAACAGCUAUGCAAUUUUUAGGAACACAGUGGAAAUACUUGAUUUGGAAAUGCGAUCCUUUUCUUGUAACUAACAUGUAAGAUUUGUUAAUUAAUUUAUAAAAUAAUAUCUUUAUUUCAAAA